AAAAAUUUUUAACUGAUAAUCCAGGCUCCAACAUUUCAAAAUGGUGACUAGAAAGGAAGAAAUCUAAGUAUCAAUUACCAUUCAGUCAAGACAGAAGUCCUGUUUAUCUGAGAUAGUGAUAGACAAUCUACGACAGAAAUGUAGUUCUUUGCAAUUGAUGAUCUCUAAUCAAAUUUUAUGAUCUGUGAUAACUGAUAAGUAGACAUCGUUUACAUCACGUAUCCAAAAUGCACCAUCCUAG
rnacentral:misc_RNA from 1 species